CCAACAGUCCUUUUCAGGACUACACACACUUAAGAAUGAGAGAUU
rfam:Strongylocentrotus purpuratus Contig19895_fixed, whole genome shotgun sequence.